ensembl:lncRNA
CUUGUAGUCCGGCCGACACACUUAUUUUCCCAUUGAGCAGAAUGGCUCAGGCCUUUCAGCAUUUAGUUCUAUUUGGGGAGGCACCCAGGGAGGUACGUGGGCUCCCACCUGAUUUCAGCAGGACAUCGGUUCUUCAUACAUUCAUAAAAGUGGCUUUCAUUCUGUUUUAGGAUGGCCCCCAGAUCCCUGACAUGGUCACACCUGUACAUAAGCUGACAUCUAUGCCAUACUGUCCAAAUGAGUUGGCAACGGAUAACAGUCACCUCGAGGUUCUUAGGGGGUCUCUGGUUAUCUGCCCUCGGUGUCAUGAGCUGAUUCCCAGCACACAGCACCCGCUUUGAGGGCAUUUCCUUCACCUGGCAUGGCUUCUCCUGGAUCCCCUUGUGCCGUUCCUGGUCCAGCAGGUCUUGAUGCUGAGCGUGUGGGACAGUUCCUAUUUCCCUGUGUGAGUUUUCGUGGUGGGUUUCCCCUCAAAACCCAUUCUGCAAAGUGUUUGCUGUUUCCUUCCGUCCGCUCCUUGCAGACGCCUAUUUUAGAGGCUGCCUUUGGAAGCUGCGAUCGUGGCUGUCCUUCACACGAGGUCAGGUUAAUUUGGGACUCAUCCCUGGCAUGUCACUGAUUUACAGAUCUGUCUCGACGAGCCUAUUUUGGGUAAAUUCACCUCACCUCCCCCUCAGCUCUUGCGAAAUUACCAAUAUUUCACCUUUCUCUUGUUUAAAUAAAUGAAACCACAUCUGCUCAGAGAAUACAAGGUUCUCACCCUCCUUAACGUCACUCCUUAAUGACUCCUGCAACGUCCUUUGAAGAGAAAAGAUGUUUUAUUUGGAUAAGGAAAAAGAGGAAUAACGGUGAGGAACGUGGAGGCUGACUGCAGCUGGGGAUGUGGCGGUGCAGCUGCCGUUCAUACGUGAGAAGGGCGUCAGGUGCUCCUGAAAACCCGAGUUCUGUCACCAAAUCCCACCUGCCCCCUCCUCUCCAACUGGGUCAACCCGCUUUAAACCAGGCCUUUUUCGCCCCAGGGAGGAGGAUUUUUGGGUCCCUCCUCAGGUCGUUUAGAGCCACGUUUUCUUUUUG